rnacentral:rRNA from 1 species
AUUGAACGCUGGCGGCAUGCUUUACACAUGCAAGUCGAACGGCAGCGCGGGCUUCGGCCUGGCGGCGAGUGGCGAACGGGUGAGUAAUACAUCGGAACGUGCCCAGUAGUGGGGGAUAGCUCGGCGAAAGCCGGAUUAAUACCGCAUACGACCUGAGGGUGAAAGCGGGGGAUCUUCGGACCUCGCGCUAUUGGAGCGGCCGAUGGCAGAUUAGCUAGUUGGUUGGGUAAAGGCCUACCAAGGCGGCGAUCUGUAGCUGGUCUGAGAGGACGACCAGCCACACGGGGACUGAGACACGGCCCAGACUCCUACGGGAGGCAGCAGUGGGGAAUUUUGGACAAUGGGCGAAAGCCUGAUCCAGCAAUGCCGCGUGUGUGAUGAAGGCCUUCGGGUUGUAAAGCACUUUUGGCGGGAACGAAAAGGACUGUGCCAAUACCACGGUUCGAUGACGGUACCCGCAGAAUAAGCACCGGCUAACUACGUG